rnacentral:rRNA from 1 species
GAUGAACGCUGGCGGCAUGCCUAACACAUGCAAGUCGAACGGACCUUUAUUUUUGAGAGUUCCUUUAUAGAAAUUCUCAAAAAUACUGGUUAGUGGCGGACGGGUGAGUAACACGUUGGUACCUACCCUCUAGUGGGGAAUAACUUCGAGAAAUCGAGGCUAAUACCGCAUGUGGUCUACGGAUCAAAGCAGUAAUGCGCUAGAGGAGGGGCCUGCGUCUGAUUAGCUUGUUGGUGAGGUAAAGCUCACCAAGGCGACGAUCAGUAGCUGGAUCGAGAGGUUGACCAGCCACACUGGGACUGAGAUACGGCCCAGACUCCUACGGGAGGCAGCAGUGAGGAAUCUUCCACAAUGGACGAAAGUCUGAUGGAGCAAUGCCGCGUGCAGGAUGACGGCCUCGGUUGUAAACUGCUUUAUAUGGGAAGAUUAUGACGGUACCAUAUGAAUAAGGACCGGCGUAACUACGUGCCAGCAGCCGCGGUAA